AGUGAACGCUGGCGGUAGGCCUAACACAUGCAAGCCGAACGGCAGCACAGUAAGAGCUUGCUCUUACGGGUGGCGAGUGGCGGACGGGUGAGGAAUACAUCGGAAUCUACUUUUUCGUGGGGGAUAACGUAGGGAAACUUACGCUAAUACCGCAUACGACCUACGGGUGAAAGCAGGGGAUCUUCGGACCUUGCGCGAUUGAAUGAGCCGAUGUCGGAUUAGCUAGUUGGCGGGGUAAAGGCCCACCAAGGCGACGAUCCGUAGCUGGUCUGAGAGGAUGAUCAGCCACACUGGAACUGAGCCACGGUCCAGACUCCUACGGGAGGCAGCAGUGGGGAAUAUUGGACAAUGGGCGCAAGCCUGAUCCAGCCAUACCGCGUGGGUGAAGAAGGCCUUCGGGUUGUAAAGCCCUUUUGUUGGGAAAGAAAAGCAGCAGGUUAAUACCCCGCUGUUCUGACGGUACCCAAAGAAUAAGCACCGGCUAACUUCGUG
rnacentral:rRNA from 1 species